rnacentral:tRNA from 1 species
AAGGGUAUAGCUCAGUGGUAGGGCAUGUGCCUAGCAUGCACAAGGUCGUGAGUUCAAUCCCCAGUACCUCCA